rnacentral:tRNA from 95 species
GGCCCGUUGGUCAAGUGGUUAAGACACCGCCCUUUCACGGCGGUAACACGGGUUCGAAUCCCGUACGGGUCAUCA